rnacentral:rRNA from 1 species
CUGCACCAACUGAGGCCUAUUAAGCGUGUUGCUUUUGAAGGGCCUGUAACAGGAAGGCGUUUCUAUGGCUGCCCAUUCCAGGAAAAUGGUGUGAAUUGUGGUGUUGUAGAGUGGGUUGAUGGGCCUUGGCCUACUGUUCUUCAGAGAUGUUUGUGCAAGCUAUGGGAAAUGUUCCAUGAGCAGAACUAUGGAAGGGUACUUGACAAGGAGAAGUUUGAGAAGGAGUUGGCCAAUCUUAAGACUGAAAAUGACAAGCUUUGCAUUGAGUACACCAAGAUUGUUGAUGAUGUAUCCAAGAUGUUUGAUUGGCAGGAUGGUAGGGCGAACAAGAAGGUGUACCAGAAACAAGUGGAGGAGGAAGAACUUGAGAAGAAGAAGAAGAAGAAGAAGAAGAAGAAGAAGGAGCUAAAGGAGAAAGCUAUGUUGGAGGUGCAUAUGGAAAAGCUCAAACUUGCAAAAGAGCAGAGGUGCAUUUUGCAGAGCCAAGCUGGUAUCAUCAAGAACACCAGGAAGGCUAUGAAGGAUGUUGAAGUUGACAGAGAUGUUCUUAAGAAGGAGAAGGCAAAGCUUGAGCUUGUUGUUGCAGAGCUGCUGAAAGAUGGGUAUGGCAGCAAGGAGAAAUUAGAUCAAAUCAAGGCCAUCCUUGAGUCAUGA